rnacentral:lncRNA from 1 species
UCUGUUUGAAAGCUUAAGAACCAAUGGGCCAAACAUUCGCCACAAACAUCUCUGACACUCCAAUGGCAUCUCUAGAUUGGAGUUUCGAACCAGCGGAAACAAAGGGGAUACAAAUGCAAACAAGGUUCCUUUGUUUAUUACUAAGCCUUGUGGUCUUUAGCCAAUUCAUCCACGUCAAGUUCUACCGCCAAGAGUGGAGAAUCCUCUUCCAUGGCAAGCUCACUGAUACACAGAUAAUAUUCUUUUGUGCUUAGUAAGAUAAAAAAAUAACAGAGGAUGGUAUCUUCUCUUUUACCUGUUACUAACUGGACCAUGAUCAACGGCUGUCCUCAGACAAUAUAUAGCUCUUCCUACUAUGUCCGCCAUUGAGACCGGACCAAAUGUUCGACUAUCGUAUGCUUCCUAUCAAACACCAUUGGGUGGACAAAGUUAACAGACCAAAUUAUACAGAGAUUCAGUUUUUUUUUUUCUUUCGUAUGCAAUAGUGUACCUUAGAUUUCAUCUCUUGGUUCUCAGCAACGACCCAGCACUGAUCCUUUUCGAGAACAAAAGGCUCCUCCUUCUCAUCAAUAGAUACCAUUUCGGAUCCUUCUAAAGCUGCCAGUCUUCUCACUAGAAACUUAUCAGUUUCAUUCGGGUCCUUCAACACAACAGCAUCUCCAACGAAAACAUACCUAGACAACAAAAAAACAAUGAAAUCCAAAUGGGCAUCACUAGUAAUCUUUACACACUGAAACUAGCCAGAGGCUGCAAACUAAAAGGAUUCAAUUGGUGUUUGGAUUCAACAAUAUCUCAUCACAGUAAGUAGACAUACCUACUAUACAAUUUAUCAUAAGUAGACAUUUGACCCUUAAUGCCUAGAAACAUACCUUGUAUCGACAACAGGUAGCUUACGGACAAGUAGUGUGUUGUCAUGAGCUCCCAUGGUUGGGGACAUCUCUUGUCCUUUACCAGAGUGCAAGUAUGUUAUCCUUCCAUAGAGUAGAUUCUUCAGGACAUUUUCAGUUUACUAAUGUAGACUAUCAAAUAGGUCUACUAUUUGGGUUAGUUUUUGCAAUUGAAAAUUUUACGGGUUACUUUCUAUAUUUGUAAAAAAGUUGUGAUUUUAUACAUGUAGACUUCCAUUUCAGUCUACACUUCAAAAUAGUUAGUUUUUUCAAUUGACCAAAAUUCACCCAUAAUUUGACUUUCGGAAAUAGACUUCAUAUGCAGUCUACAUUUUUGAUUUUUUUAAAAGAGGUUAAUUUUGCAAUUGACCAAGUUUGACUUUCUACGAGUAAAUGAAAACGGACAUCUACAUAUUUUUAGACUUCGUUUGAAGUCUACUCUCAAAUUCGACGGGUUAGUUUUGCAUUUGACCAAAAUAAAAUAGUAGACUUCACAUGUAGUCUACUUUUUUUUCUAAGUUAAGAAGACUGCAAAUGAAGUCUUCAGUUUAAUAAAAUUUUAAUUAAUUUUUAAACUUUUUAGUCAAACACAAAAGUAACCUAUUCAACGAAGUCAAAGUUUUGAUCAAAUGCAAAACUGACAUUAUGCAAACUUCUCUGGCAGUCUACACUUCGUAGACUUCCGUUGAAGUUCGGUCAAAUGCAAAACUAACCUCUUUUACAUAGACGUCUUAGUAAGUCCACCUAAAUUUUUGUUUUUGUUGUCAAAGAUAAAGACGAAGACUGCCGGGGAAGUCUGCGGUACAAAAAAAAAUUCGUUUGGUCAAAUGCAAAACUGACAUGUGCGUUGACAAGUAGACUGUAUCGUACGUCUGCAUAUAGGCGUAGACAUACAAAACAAUCUACUAUCUCGACACAGAUCUGAAAAAUGAUGAAAACCAUGUAAAUAAUAAUCUUUUUCUGGUGUAAAGCUCGUUUCCAACCUUCUCAACCGUCCAAACUCCAAAUAUGAACAAAAAGAACCGCCUUUAACAAUUCACUAAUGAAAAAACUUUAAAAUAUGAAGUUUGUGUUUAUGAAAAUGAAAGCUAUGAGAGUUUUUUAGAUGGAAAUGUAGAAGAAAUGAGAGGAAAUGAAGAUUUGUUGGUUUAGAAUGAAAAAAGUGGUUAAAAAUUGAAUUCUAGAGUUUUAAGAGCUCAAAAAUGGUGGUUCAUGAUGGUUGGAAAAAUUGAUGAUAGUGGCAUUAUUGUAAAUAAGAAGAAAUGGUGUGGGUGUAUUUGUUUUUUUUUUGUGAAUUCGAAAUUAAUAAAAAACUAAAUAAUAAUGUCAAUUUUGUAAAUAAUUCAAAAACAUAGGGAUAAUAUAGAAAAUUCAUUGAUGAAUAGUAAUGACAAAAAAAGAGGUUAGUUUUGGGUUUGACUUGAAAAUAUGGGUUGGUUUUGAAAAACUCCCUUUAAAAUUGGGCUUAUUUGCCAACUAGCCAUAUUUUAACAACAAAUUAAGAAUAUAGCAAUGAUUUUGAUAUUAUAAUAUCUUCUAACAUUUGUGCAAUAUUUUCUCGGUUUUGUCUUUCUUUUGAUCCGGUUGCCAAUAAUAAAAGAAAAAAAUUGUGAUCGACAAAUAUAUGGUGAAAAUUACAGUGGAAGGAGAAUGGUUACAAUGAAAACAACGUUGAUGAUUAUUGUGGCAGUGAUGGCGGUGAUUACAGUAGAAGUUAUUACAUAUGAAACAUAUGUCGUUAAUCCAAAAGAAACAGUCAUCUUUCAAACAAAGAUUACUACGAUGGUUGUCAUCUUAUAACUGCGAUGAUUGGAGAAAGAGACAAAGUUACAGAGGAAGAUAUCAGAGUAAAUAGAAUAGAACAUUCUAAAUGAUAUAGUUCAUAUUAAUGGAAUUUUAAAAUAGUUUAAUAAUUGUGGAGGCAACGCUUAUUCCAAUAUCAACCCAUAUUUUCCAUAAACUAAAUCUAAAACACUAAUCAGUAAAACCUAAAAAAAAAUAUAAACCCUAACCCAAAUAUCAAAAACCAACUCAAAUAUUAAAAUAUGCAAAUAUAAUAGUAACCAAUUAAUAGCAUAGUACAUAUUGUUCAAAUUUUAAAUUGUCUAUGAUUAUAGGGAAUGAGGUAAUGCUUACCCCAAUAACUCAAACCUUCUAUAAAUUAAGAGUAAAAACACUAAUCACUAAACACUUAAAAGAAAUAUAAAUCCUAACCCAAAUAUCAAAUAUGGACAUAAUACAUAAUAUGAAACAUUACCAAAAUAGAGUAGUAACAAACAAAAUAACAUAGUACGUAUUAAUGUUUACAUUUUGAAAUGUCUAUUAUUACAGAGAAAGAGGUAAAGCUUACCCUAAAUUAACCCAAACCUUCCAUAAACUAAACCAAAAACACUAAUCACUAAACCCUAAAAAGAAAUAUAAACCUUAACCCAAAUAUUAAAAUAUGCACAUAGUACAUAAUAUGAACAAUUAUUAAAAUAGAAUAGUAACAAACGAUAUAGCGUAGUACGUUCAAAUAACAUAGUACAACCGAGAACUUACGGGACAAACAAGGACGCUUCGACCGUAACGUCGCCAUGGUCCGUAGAUUUUAGAAGCAGAGACGAGAUAUGUAGCAAAGAGUAUGGAUUAUUAGGAGGUGGUUGUGGUGACUAUGGUGAUGGUGGCUCAAUGAUGAAUGUUAGUAUGAACGAAGAGAUCAUGAUUAUGAAAAAAAUGAUAUUGAUUAUAAAAAAAGUGGUGAUUAAGGAGACGAUAAAUACAAAACACAGUGUGGAGUUUGUGAUGAUCGUAUUUGUAAUGUUGACGGAAGGUAAAGUGGUGGAGAUGGAAGAAGAAGGGUGGUAGUUGAGAAGAAGAAGAAGAAUAUAUUUUUCUCUUUCAUUAACCGGAAACUAAAGGCAAUAUAGUAUAUAUUUCACAAAUAAUAGAGGUACUUUUUUUUGGUUAGAUAUUUAAUGGAAAAAUUGGCAAUACAGAACAACUAAACUAAAGUAUUGUCCCCUUAGAAUAAAAUCAAGUUUUGUUACUUUUGGACAUUCACUACUCUUUUUGUAUAUAAAAAUUCAUAUCAAUUUUUUAGAAUGCAAAAAAAUCUGGAAAAUUGUAUAUUUGAUGUAGAUAAGCAACUGCAUAUAAGAAAAAUAAUCUGGAUUCAAAAAAUGUUUGAAUAGUAAUUUCAAAAAUGGGGUAAAGGUGUUAGAAAAUCAGAUCUACCAUCUACGGAGGUUUAGAAUAUAUAAUCUAACAAAGAUAAAGUGAUCUACCAAUCGUAGAAUGCACAAUACAUCGAAAACAUUAACAACUACUAGGGAAGAAUAUAAAAAAAAUCCUCAUUCCCUCUAUGCUCUACAUAACUGGUAGAUUUAAUGCGCUACAGAAAUUAAUUAAUCUACUAUGGUAUGAAAUGCAUUAUUCGAAUUAUCUUUUUGUCUACAUUGGUGGUAUACAAUAUUCUGCCAGACCUUCUAAUUUCCAAACAGAUAGAAUGCAAAUUCUACCUAAUAAAAUUACAAAAUCCGAAAAUCUAGCAAAAAACGGUCAGAGUAUUCAGUAAAUCUUUUAAAUGUUUUGUUAUUUCCUUUUUUAAUUUUUUUUUUCUAAAAUCUAGUCUUCUUCUUCAACAUAGCACGAUUUCUGAAAUUAAACGUGGAAGUUGUUCUUCAAUCGAUGGUUCUCAAAGAGGAAAGACGACAGAAGGAGGACGACGGAGAGACGUGACGACGAUAUCGUCGUCUCCGGCGAACAUAGACGGCCAAGAGAAAGAAAGUGUCGACGGCGACGAAAUGAAAUCGCCUCUGCUUUUAGAAACGGGCGUCGGAGACGAAGAAAGUUGUGUUUUUUUACUGCUUAUGUUUCGUUUUUACUUCUUACUAUUAAUUGUAUUUUACUAAAAAAGGACAAAACAUGUUUUUCAUAUUUUUGUUCUAAUGAGACAAAGAUUGAGUUUUUUAUUCUAAGGAGACAAAAGUAUACUUCUUUUGUUUCUUAUCGGCAAAAAUUCCAUAUUUAAUUAUGGUUUUUUUUGUAGCUAUACAAUCCAAUUUCCUCAAUAGAUUUGGAGUUAUCAAGGUGGUGGUAUAACGUACACUUUUUUUUUUUUGGAUAACAUUGGUGUGAUUCCAAAGGUUUGCUAUAGCAUACACUUAGGUUGAUGUAUAUGUUAGUAUGUGAUACUCAUGCUCCAAUAUGUAUAUGAAAUGAAUUUACAAAGUUAUAUGUAAAUGGCCAAAAUAUGAUAUUGCAUGAGUUUUUAACGUGAUGAUUUUGAAAAAGAAAACAUAACCUAAAAAGCACCAUUAUCAGUGAUCCAGCGAUGACUCCACUAUAGCAAUUGUAUGAUCACCAUUAACUGAAUUGAACCAGUAAUGAUUCUUUAUAGAACAUAAUUAAUAUUAUUGAUUUUAAAAAAUAUAAUAUAUAUGCAGAAAUCAUUGUGCUACUAUCUGGAUUUGAAUCAUAAUGUAUAUUAUUGACCAAAAAACAUUGAUUCAAAUCCAUAUGUGUUAUGUUAUUAACAAACAUAAAACCAAUGAGCAGUAUAAAAUGAUAAAAACGUGACUUACAAGUAGGGACAACUAACGAUUAAAGAAGGCAUGCAACCAGCCAGAAAAAUGGUGAUCAUGUUGAUUGGUUACACUGGCUAUGACCGGACCCACCUUGAGUAAGCCAUCAGCCGACUCCAAUUACAAUUUUGAUUUCAGUAUCCGACCCCUUCACAGAAAAGGCUUGGCUUAGAAUACAGUGCUUUCAAAUGACCCUUUGAUGUGAAGUGAGCCCAAACAUAUCAUCGCCAUAACACUAUCAGAGAACAAGCUUAGUUGUGCUUUAACAACAUUUCGAAGAUCUUCAAAAACCAAAGAUUAAAAUCUGAGUAAACAAAACAACAUGAUCACGGCCAGUAUUUUCAGGUAAAAAAAAAAAGAACACAGAAAUUAACUCAUUUCAACAUUGUCACUAACGAUAGUAAAUGUUCAUAUUAUUUGUUGAGUCUCUUUCACCGUCGAAUCAGAUGGAAUCACUACUAAGCAACUCCACGAGUUGGGCUUUCUUCAUCUUUGAAAACCCUUUUAGUCCCCUUGAUUUCGCUAUGCCUCUCAGUUCCAUCAACUUCAAUGUACUCAAGUCUUUAACAGGUUCUUCCUCUUCUUCAUCAGCAUCAUCCAGAGACUCCUCCUCCUCAUCAUCUGAUAACGCAUCUAAAGUAACAUUACCAUCCUCCUCUUGAUAAAAUGAUGAUGCGUCUAGCUGCAGCUCAGAUUCUGGUUCGAGAAUAGCUGUCACAGGCUCAGGUUCGUCUUCAGGUUCAUCACGCGGCUCUGCUGUAUCCUUCUUAUGGGUCCAAGUCACGCUGUAACUCGACGCCUCAUCAAAAGUUGCCUCAUUAGAAUAAGUCGGAGGAGGCGAUUCAAAUCUUGGUACUGGCGACUUUCUUCUGAAGCUUGACGCUGUCCUGGUAAAGGAUGAUGAUGCAUUAUGAUCUUUGGUCCAUGACUUGACAAGGUUUCCUCCUCCGCUGCGAUCUUGCCUCCUGUCCACAUGAUCUCCUUGUACCGAAUUGUCUCCAUGGCUGUUAAAAUUGUUAACUUUCUUGCUCUGCUCUCCCGAGUGCUUUCUUAGUAACUUAAGAAGAGAGUCAACAGUUUCACUUUCUUUACCCCGUCCUUUAGAAGCUUCUUCUUCUUCUUCUUGUGCCUUUUUAUCUUCCAUCUUGGUGGCUGCUCGAGCUCGGAGCUGAGCUUGAACUUUUCGGAAAAGCUCCACUAUCUCUUUCUCUCUAGGCCCAGGGGAUGAAGUAGCUUGGAACUUGGGGGAGUUAGACAGAGAGAGCAAAGACCCGUUUCUUGAAGACAACAUAUCAGAGUUAUCACCAUCAAAACCGUCUCCAUCUACGCUUUGCCUGUUUCUUCCAUGCUUAUUAAGCCUUGAGAAAUCAGGGUUUCUCCUGUAGCCACCAGAACUCGCUUGACAAACAAAAGAACUACUAUCUGGGGAACACUUCAGAGAUCCAUUACGUUUGUGAUCGAGACAAGAAGAAAAAGGUAAUGUAGCAGGUGUUCUUCUAUAAACAGCAGGGUUAUAAAAGCAUCUGCUGUCUGAAACUGAAACUGAGAGUGUGUAACCUGUGUUACAACAGCAAUGAAUAAAAAUUAUUUAUUUAUUUUGACAAAAGGGCUAGCAAUGAAGAAUUGUUACAAGUAAUAUUCCUACAGAAGCAUGUAAACAGUCUACACGAACACUGUCUAUUUUGUCUAUUUAACAAUCACACAGAAGCAUUUCGUCGAACAACUGGUGGACAUUUAGGAAAAAAUCUAACCGAUAACACAAAGAGAGACAUAACUUAACAACUAUCAACGACAUGUAAGAGACACAUAUAUAGGGUGCUAAAGUCGUACCAGGGACGUAGUUAGAGUUCAAACUGAAAGUUCCCGACAUCGCCGCCAAGAACAGCUUCGGAGCGAGAGCGAGAGAGAGAGAGAGAGAUUAAGCUUCCUCUUCUUCUACCCUCCUCUUCUUGGGCUUUAGAUUAUUUCAAAUUCCUAAAUGGGCUUUGUAAGUUUGGUUUUACAAAUUAGAUAUUCCACAAUCGGUUAAGAGAUUUUUCCAAACCGAGUUUCUUACCUUAACAGAACCGACUAAAUAAACCAAUCAAAAUCUCUUAACCAAAACCAAAAACAGAAUUAACAAAUGUCUUCUUAUUCGGUUCGGUUUAAAAACCAUGGUUUUGGAUUUCUCUGUUUCAUUAUAGAGGAAGAAGCUAACGAAGAGCUUUCUUCAACACUCUUCUCAACAAGGAUCUGUUUGAAAGCUUAAGAACCAAUGGGCCAAACAUUCGCCACAAACAUCUCUGACACUCCAAUGGCAUCUCUAGAUUGGAGUUUCGAACCAGCGGAAACAAAGGGGAUACAAAUGCAAACAAGGUUCCUUUGUUUAUUACUAAGCCUUGUGGUCUUUAGCCAAUUCAUCCACGUCAAGUUCUACCGCCAAGAGUGGAGAAUCCUCUUCCAUGGCAAGCUCACUGAUAC